rnacentral:pre_miRNA from 1 species
UCUACACCCAUGUGUGUAGGACCCCAAAAGAUCACCAUUAAAUUUGGUACAGAUCUUUAGAAAAGUUAUCACAUGGGUGUGAGAUUAAUUUUUCUAAAUAUCUGUGCUAAAUUUUAAUGGUGAUCAUUUGGAGUCCUACACACAUGGGUGUAGG